CUGUAGUCCUAGCCGUAAACGAUGGACACUAGGUGUUGUCUGUAUCGACCCGGACAGUGCCGUAGCCAACGCGUUAAGUGUCCCGCCUGGGGAGUACGCACGCAAGUGUGAAACUCAAAGGAAUUGACGGGGGCCCGCACAAGCGGUGGAGUAUGUGGUUUAAUUCGAUGCAACGCGAAGAACCUUACCAGGGCUUGACAUCCCGCGAAUCUCUGUGAAAGUGGAGAGUGCCUUCGGGAGCGCGGAGACAGGUGGUGCAUGGCUGCCGUCAGCUCGUGUCGUGAGAUGUUGGGUUAAGUCCCGCAACGAGCGCAACCCUCGUUCUUAGUUGCCAUCAUUAAGUUGGGCACUCUAGGGAGACUGCCGGUGACAAACCGGAGGAAGGUGGGGAUGACGUCAAGUCAUCAUGCCCCUUACGUCCUGGGCUACACACGUACUACAAUGCUAGAGACAAAGAGCAGCCAACCAGCGAUGGUGAGCUAAUCUCAUAAACUCUGGCUCAGUUCAGAUUGCAGGCUGCAACUCGCCUGCAUGAAGGAGGAAUCGCUAGUAAUCGCAGGUCAGCAUACUGCGGUGAAUACGUUCCCGGGCCUUGUACACACCGCCCGUCACACCAUGGAAGUUGGCCACGCCCGAAGUCGUUACCCUAACCUUCGAGGGGGGGGGCGCCGA
rnacentral:rRNA from 1 species